rnacentral:lncRNA from 1 species
GUCCGAAUAAGUUUUUUUUCUCUCACAAAAUUAAUAAAAGAAAACACUAUAAACCCCAUAUCUUAGUUUAUUGUAUUGGAUUUCCUAGAAACAACAUUAUUUUCGGUUAUAGAAGACCCAAGACUAAACAUGAGAGGAUAAACAGGACUAAAUUCCUUAUCACCUCUUGCCUUCACCUGAACAGCAUAAUCAUCAAGAGUCGCUUUUAUACCUUUCCAGAUCUGGUCCUCACCCUGUGAAUCGAGCCACAGCGAGUACUGUAACGGGCUAAGUUUAUUCCUCUGCAUUGGGGACUGCAACUCGUCGGGAGCUCGAGAGUAAAGAUGAUGAAGUAUGACACUCGGUGGCAAGUCUUGAAGAAGCGGUGAACCGUUAAGUUGUGACGUUUCAAGGAAUAUAACGGGUCUGAAUGCUCUAAGAGCCCGAUACGGUGCACCAAGUUGUUCAACUGGGAAUAAGUUCUGACCCACGGCUAGUUCCAGCUCAGCCAUGUCUCGGGCCAUUCUGAGCUUGCCUGAUUCGGAUAAAGGCCGUACUAGAGAUGCGUGUCGGAUAAAGAAUAUUAGAACCCGAGAAGCCAUGCUUCUGACGAGCCGGGUACAGAUGGUUUCAGUCCCGAUUGAGAUGACUUUGGCUGAUGAAGGUAAUAGUUUUGAUAAAAACUCGGUACGAAAAUGAGAAAUGUGUUUUUGUAAUUCUUCCAUGUAAGAUGACGAGUUGUUGUCGGUUGCGCCGAAAUUUUGGUUGUGGAUUUCGAGAAUGCAUGACUCGAGAUGGUCGAGCAUGGAUUGGAAUAAGGAUGUGACGGAAUCACAGGCGACUUCAUAUAUAGUGUUGAGUGAUUGGGAUAAGAUGUCUGAGGCGAUUGGCGGUAAUCCUUUUGUCAUGGCGGAUAUGCUUCCAUGAAUGUCUUGUAAAUGCUGGCAGAGGGGUUUUGUUUGUUCCACUUAAUUUUCUUUUUUUUUACG